GACGAACGCUGGCGGCGUGCUUAACACAUGCAAGUCGAACGGAAAGGCCCUGCUUGCAGGGUACUCGAGUGGCGAACGGGUGAGUAACACGUGGGUGAUCUGCCCUGCACUUCGGGAUAAGCUUGGGAAACUGGGUCUAAUACCGGAUAGGAGCCAUCUUUAGUGUGGUGGUUGGAAAGUUUUUUCGGUGUAGGAUGAGCUCGCGGCCUAUCAGCUUGUUGGUGGGGUAAUGGCCUACCAAGGCGGCGACGGGUAGCCGGCCUGAGAGGGUGUACGGCCACAUUGGGACUGAGAUACGGACCAGACUCCUACGGGAGGCAGCAGUGGGGAAUAUUGCACAAUGGGCGCAAGCCUGAUGCAGCGACGCCGCGUGGGGGAUGAAGGCCUUCGGGUUGUAAACUCCUUUCGCUAGGGACGAAGCUUUGUUGUGACGGUACCUAGAUAAGAAGCACCGGCUAACUACGUG
rnacentral:rRNA from 1 species